GGAAGUAAAAGCGUAACAAGGUCUCCGUUGGUGAACCAGCGGAGGGAUCAUUACCGAGUGCAAACUCAUAACCCUUUGUGAACCUAUAUCUGUUGCUUCGGCGGCUCGCUCUCGGGCGAGCCCGCCGGUAAUAUCAGUAUCUCUGUUUGAACCCGACGAUACUUCUGAGUGUUCUUAGCGAACAGUUAAAACUUUUAACAACGGAUCUCUUGGCUCUA
rnacentral:misc_RNA from 1 species